UACGAAGGGGGCUAGCGUUGCUCGGAAUUACUGGGCGUAAAGCGCACGUAGGCGGCUUUCUAAGUCGGGGGUGAAAUCCUGGAGCUCAACUCCAGAACUGCCUUCGAUACUGGAGAGCUUGAGUCCGGGAGAGGUGAGUGGAACUGCGAGUGUAGAGGUGAAAUUCGUAGAUAUUCGCAAGAACACCAGUGGCGAAGGCGGCCAACUGGUCCAUUACUGACGCUGAGGUGCGAAAGCGUGGGGAGCAAACAGG
rnacentral:rRNA from 1 species